rnacentral:lncRNA from 1 species
UUAUUUUUAUUUAAGAUAUUCUUCAAUUGUCUUCACUAUGAUUAGCAACCUGAACCCUUCGUCUUCAGUUUAAACAUUUUCAGAUUUACAUUCAGUUGAAACAUUUUCAGACCUAUAUUUUAUUCACCUUUCUCUUUUCAUUUUAUCUGCUUUACUGCAAUUUAAGAGGUCAAGCAGCACCAAGAAAACCAUCGGAAGUCGGAUCUCCGGUGAAGAAAAGCUAGUCGGUCAAGAAAGUUGAGGGGUAUCUCGGGACACCCCUAGGAUAACCCUAGGUCCGCCCCUGAGUGAGAGAUUUAAAUAUGAAUAAAUUCAUAAUACUAUAAUAGGACGAUUAACACAUACCAAAAUUGUUGGGCUUAACCAUGGGUCGUCGAAUAAAGUAUAAGCCCGGUUUAGGAGUCCGAGCAUGGGUAUUCAAAACCCACCUACAUGUUUGUGCUAUAUAGCCAUGGCUUUCCAAUUGAGCAAAAAACAAUUAUAAACUUGUGAUAUUUGGCCCCUGUGAAAAAACCAUUAUUUAGGAACAGGUUUUUUAUUCAGGUUUCAAAAGCACUUUGUUGCUCGUCUACCUGUCAUCCUUAUGUAAUUUGCCCUUAUAAUUGGAAUGAA